rnacentral:lncRNA from 1 species
UUGUGCUAUUUGUAAAUUUUGAAAAUGCUAUAUAAUAUUGUUUGUAUUGUUAUUUCAACAAAUUUCAUUGGGCCUAGUUGUAAUUGGUAGUGUGUGUAGUGUGCAGACUCAAUUUGAUCUCUCCUAGCCUAGAAAAAAAAAAAAAAAAAGCCUUGACCCUUAAUUUGGCUAGGUUGUGUUUUAUAGGUAGUGGGGCCACACUGGUCUGGAUGGAGAGAGAGGGGUGGUGCAUAGGCCUGCACGUGGCAGAGAGAGGAUCAAUCUUUUCAUUUUUUUUUUCAUCAUUGACCAAUAAUAUUGUUGUGAUAUUAAUUGCACAUGUGUGUGCUUGUUUAAUUUGUUUUUUUUCUCAUUAUCCUUUCGGCUGUUAGGUUAUGCAUGGGUAUGAUUAUUUUGUUUUUUUGUCUCAUUAAAUAGAAUAUCUCUCUACAUCACUGUGCUGGUGGAUUAGGAAGCCAAAACAAAAGCAUGAGCAAGCCUUUGGAGUCCAGAUAAGGUGAUGGAUUUAGUGAUUUCAUCAGUACUUAAUGUAUGGGAAAUGUGCUAUAAUGUCCUUGUUUUGUGCUUAAGUGUCGAUUGAAAAGAGAGUUAAAUAUGUACCGCGUGUGGGUGAGUGUAUGGCUAAGGCCAUUGCAUGUGUACAAUAGCGUUAUGUUUUCAUAGUCUAGGGUAUACUAUGUUGUGUCAAGGGGCUUUCGAAUGGGGGUUGGUAUCUUAGAAGGAGAUGAACGUAGAGUUGGAAAGGAAGAUAGUGGUUUUCAGGUUGGAUGAUAUUGGGAAGGACAAGAGAUGGUUGGUGAAGAAAUUAUAAAGUAACGUUGUAUGGGUUGUUAUGUGUGUGAAGGUGUAUGAGUGUGAAUAAGCAUAACCUAGGGUAAAUAAUGGUGAGAGAUAGUGAACUGGGAAGGAGAGAAAGUAUAAGGUUAUAGGUGGGGAUGGAAGUGUUGUAUGUGUGUCGUGAUGUGUGGUUGUGAAAGUGACAGAGAGAAGAAGGCAGGAUGGUGAAGGAAAUUGUUGGUAGACUCGGGCGGCAAGGGUGGAGCGUGGUGAGUAGAAUGGUUCAUGAGAGCAAGAGGAGGUUGCGUCGGGUCAUAAUAUGAUAGUAAUAAGUCCAGUUUAAAGGAGAGUGUCUUUAUAGGUUGGAAAAUUAGAAAUUAUACAAGGUGGGAGUAGCUGGUGGAUCUACUUCGUUUCCUUGAGUAGCUUUGUUUAGCAUCAUAAUAUUUUAAUAACUUUUUUU